rnacentral:rRNA from 1 species
CGAACGCUGGCGGCGUGCUUAACACAUGCAAGUCGAACGGAGAUUAUUAAUGAAGCUUGCGAUUUAAUAAUCUUAGUGGCGGACGGGUGAGUAACGCGUGGGCAACCUACCCAUAAGCGGGGGAUAACAGUUGGAAACGACUGCUAAUACCGCAUAAGCUAUUAAGGUCACAUGACCUUAAUAGUAAAGGUGGCGAUUUUACAUUGCUAUCACUUAUGGAUGGGCCCGCGUCUGAUUAGCUAGUUGGUGGGAUAGCAGCCUACCAAGGCAACGAUCAGUAGCCGGCCUGAGAGGGUGGACGGCCACACUGGGACUGAGACACGGCCCAGACUCCUACGGGAGGCAGCAGUGGGGAAUAUUGCGCAAUGGGGGAAACCCUGACGCAGCGACGCCGCGUGAGCGAAGAAGGCCUUAGGGUCGUAAAGCUCUGUUGUAAGGGACGAAUGUUUAUCUGGCGAACAGUCAGAUAAAGUGACGGUACCUUACCAGCAAGCCCCGGCUAACUACGUG